CCAAUUUUAGCGAGCCUGAUCCUUUGGAUUAUGGUCUUGCAAAAAAUACUGUAUUUAAAACCCCACUCUUCAUAUAAAAUGAAUCUAUUUAUAUAUAAUAAAUAAAGA
rnacentral:misc_RNA from 1 species